rnacentral:rRNA from 1 species
GGGGAAUUUUCCGCAAUGGGCGCAAGCUUGACGGAGCAAUGUCGCGUGGAGGAAGAAGGCUCGUGGGUUGUCAACUCCUUUUGUCAAAGAAGAAAAAAUGACGUUAUUUGACGAAUAAGCAUCGGCUAACUCCGUGCCAGCAGCCGCGGUAAUACGGAGGNNNCAAGCGUUAUCCGGAAUGAUUGGGCGUAAAGCGUCCGCAGGUGGCGAUGUAAGUCUGCUGUUAAAGAGUCUAGCUCAACUAUAUAAGAGCAGUGAAAACUACAUAGCUAGAGUACGUUCGGGGCAGAGGGAAUUCCUGGUGUAUCGNUGAAAUGCGUAUAGAUCAGGAAGAACACCANNNGCGAAANNNCUCUGCUAGGCCGUAACUGACNNNGNGGGACGAAAGCUAUGNNNNNGAAUGGGA